UCCAGCUUAUCGCUGGCGGUCUCCUGCGAGUGCCGCCUUGCGGCAUGGCAACACAGGACAAGGGUUGCGCUCGUUGCGGGACUUAACCCAACAUCUCACGACACGAGCUGACGACAGCCAUGCAGCACCUGUGUCCAGGUUCCCUUUCGGGCACCCCUCCAUCUCUGUCCCGUUCCGCACAUGUCAAGGGUAGGUAAGGUUUUUCGCGUUGCAUCGAAUUAAUCCACAUAAUCCACCGCUUGUGCGGGUCCCCGUCAAUUCCUUUGAGUUUUAACCUUGCGGCCGUACUCCCCAGGCGGUCAACUUCACGCGUUAGCUACGGUACCAAGGAAUCGCUUCCCCAACACCCAGUUGACAUCGUUUAGGGCGUGGACUAC
rnacentral:misc_RNA from 1 species